rnacentral:tRNA from 3 species
CUGGAACUAAUAAACCAG